GACGAACGCUGGCGGCGUGCUUAACACAUGCAAGUCGAACGGAAAGGCCCUGCUUUUGUGGGGUGCUCGAGUGGCGAACGGGUGAGUAACACGUGAGUAACCUGCCCUUGACUUUGGGAUAACUUCGGGAAACUGGGGCUAAUACCGGAUAGGAGCUCCUGCUGCAUGGUGGGGGUUGGAAAGUUUCGGCGGUUGGGGAUGGACUCGCGGCUUAUCAGCUUGUUGGUGGGGUAGUGGCUUACCAAGGCUUUGACGGGUAGCCGGCCUGAGAGGGUGACCGGCCACAUAGGGACUGAGAUACGGCCCGGACUCCAACGGGAGGCAGCAGUGGGGAAUAUUGCACAAUGGGCGGAAGCCUGAUGCAGCAACGCCGCGUGCGGGAUGACGGCCUUCGGGUUGUAAACCGCUUUCGCCUGUGACGAAGCGUGAGUGACGGUAAUGGGUAAAGAAGCACCGGCUAACUACGUG
rnacentral:rRNA from 1 species